rnacentral:lncRNA from 1 species
GUAUGCCUGUUCCCUACGAAAUGCCAUCAUACGUGAACCAUGCGUGGUAUGGAAACACGAGGCAUGAGAGACAAUCAUCGAAACCUAGACCACGUGGAAUGCACGCUGGUAACAAUACCGUUCAAAGCGAUGUCACUUUCCAAAAAAAAACAACCACCACCACCACUGUAUAUCGUGCUUAUACUUUACGCCAGCUUUGCUGCAGUCGCAGUGAUCAGUUUCAUUGCUUUCAUGCUGAUAGCGUUCCGACGAUGAAUGAAGCUAGACGUUUCGACGAUGAAUGAGGUUAGACGUUCUGACGAUGAAUGAAGCUAUAGAAGUCCCGACGAUGAAUGAAGCUAGACGUUCCGACGACGAAUGAAGCUAGAUACGUAUUUUUUGAUUCGUCCUGUUCACUCUCCGGCGACGAAUGAAUUUGAUAGAUGCGUGCCUUCGAAUUCAAACUUUAUUUGAACUAUGGAAAA